UUAAAUAAUGUUAAAAUGUAAUAUUGCACAGAUGGAUAGUACCAUUAGUUUCAAUAGGGUUAAAAAUGAGGGUGAUAGUAAAAUUAAUUAUUGUAGUUUUGAAAUUAGGGAUGAUAAAAUCCAAACUAUUUCAUAGAUUUCUAACAAAUCCGUUUUAUAUGGAGUCGAUUUUUUUUUAGACAGGAUGAAUUUUUUCUUUUAAGCAGUAGGUAUGGAGCGACAAUGGUAAUUGUUUGCGCUGUCCACCCCACCCCACUCCACUAUAUAAAUUAUCCACCCCACCCCACUCCACUAUAUAAAUUAUCAUUAUAUCAUUGUGUAUAUAUAAUUAUUAAAAGAGAAGAUGCAAUAAUGUUGUAAUAGGCCCAUUUCGCCCGGGCCUAUACAAGAACCAAAAAAACCAAAAUAAAAAAAUAAAAAAAUAAGGUCCAAAGUCCAACAUUACAAAAAGCCCAGCUUUUGGCAUAAUACCAAAUUUACAUUUAACCCACAUACAAAUUGAAGCCCAAACUUUAAACUUAUUUUAAAAAAAGGCCCAAUCUUAAAGCGACCUAAAUGGCCCGGACAAAUUGAAACUUCUGGAACCCUAGGCUUCCCCACGCCGCAGCUCCUACGCACGGUUUUCUUCGUCCCCUCUGUACGCCCCAUGUGCGCCACCACCUCCAGCUGGCUCCUCCUGCAACCGAUUAACAAACUAUAGCAAACAACUCAUGGACAGCAAAGGAAAAUAGCAGAAGGAUUUAGGGGAUUUCCAUUUUUUUAUUUUUUAUUUAUUUUUCCUGAUUCGAUUAUAAAAGAAAAUGGAUUGUAAUCUAAAAGGGGGAUCUUUUUCACAGAAAUACAUUACGAAAUACUGAAAUACAAAAAAAAACACCAAAAUCGAAAGGUGAUUUCUAAUUCAAAGGUUCUUUAUUUUUUUUUAUUUUCAACUCUGUUCAUUUUGUUUUUCAUUAGAGUUUAAAAGGAUUUGAAAAUAAAAAAGGCGAGGGAUUUACCUUACGGAAAUACUGGGGAUCCCAUCUGUUUGGUUGAAAUUAGAGUUGAGAAGGAAUUUCACGGCUAAGAUUAUCGUCUCUCGAAGCCCGAAUCUGUUCGUCAACAUUGAUAGAGGCAAAUCGGUGCUUAAGAGAGGGAUGUUAGGAUCGGUUGAGGGAAAAUCAAGAGAGGCUAGGGUUUUGAUUCAUAGAAAGCGGCUGAACCUUGCUUUUUUGCUGUGUUUUAGCUUUUAUAAAGGGCAGAAAACAGCACUGUUCAGAGUCAAUUGCAGUGGCUUCAAAACAGUGCUGUAUAAGGCAACCCGCUUCAACCCGAUCCACUACUGUGAGGAUCCACACUUUGGUUUAAAAGGAAUAAUUCGCAAUUAGUCCUUCCAUUUUUCCACUGACUUUUAAUUUGGCCCUAUUUGAAUUCAAUUUGUUUUUCUAAAUUGCCCC
rnacentral:lncRNA from 1 species